rnacentral:rRNA from 1 species
CCUACGGGUGGCAGCAGUGAGGAAUAUUGGUCAAUGGGCGAGAGCCUGAACCAGCCAAGUCGCGUGAGGGAGUACUGCCCUAUGGGUUGUAAACCUCUUUUGUCGGGGAGCAAAAGCCGGACGUGUCCGGCUGUGAGAGUACCCGAAGGAAAAACAUCAGCUAACUCCGUUCCAGCAGCCGCGGUAAUACGGGGGAUGCGAGCGUUAUCCGGAUUUAUUGGGUUUAAAGGGUGCGCAGGCGGAUUUUUAAGUCAGCGGUAAAAUCGGGGGGCUCAACCCCAUCCAGCCGUUGAAACUGGGGAUCUAGAGUGUGCGAGAGGUAUGCGGAAUGCGUGGUGUAGCGGUGAAAUGCAUAGAUAUCACGCAGAACCCCGAUUGCGAAGGCAGCAUACCGGUGCACAACUGACGCUCAGGCACGAAAGCGUGGGUAUCGAACAGGAUUAGAUACCCGUGUAGUC